rnacentral:rRNA from 1 species
AUUGAACGCUGGCGGAAUGCUUUACACAUGCAAGUCGAACGGUAGAGGGGGCAACCCCUUGAGAGUGGCGAACGGGUGAGUAAUGCGUAGGAAGCUACCCGAUAGAGGGGGAUACCAGUUGGAAACGACUGUUAAUACCGCAUAAUGUCUACGGACCAAAGUGUGGGACCUUCGGGCCACAUGCUAUCGGAUGCGCCUACGUGGGAUUAGCUAGUUGGUGGGGUAAUGGCUCACCAAGGCGACGAUCCCUAGCUGGUUUGAGAGGAUGAUCAGCCACACUGGAACUGAGACACGGUCCAGACUCCUACGGGAGGCAGCAGUGGGGAAUAUUGGACAAUGGGCGCAAGCCUGAUCCAGCCAUGCCGCGUGUGUGAAGAAGGCCUCGGUUGUAAGCACUUCAGCGAGGAGGAAGGGUGAGUGUUAAUAGUG